UCGGACCAGCCGAUGGAUUUAUUAAUAAGAAUUGGAAGCAUCUGGAAAGUUGCACCAAAGAAGGUGAUAGUCCUGUACAAGUAGAAAGUUAAUAAAUUCUUGAGUAAGGCGGAGCACGAGAAAUUCUGUCUGAAAAUGGGGAGACCACUCUCCAAGGCUAAGUACUACUGAUUGACCGAUAGUGAACAAGUACCGUGAGGGAAAGGUGAAAAGCACCCCUAUAAGGGGAGUGAAAGAGAACCUGAAACCGAAUGCUUACAAGCAGUCGGAGGGUCUUUAAGGCCUGACGGCGUACCUUUUGUAUAAUGGGUCAGCGACUUAGUGUAUGUAGCAAGCUUAAGCCGAUAGGUGUAGGCGUAGCGAAAGCGAGUUUUAAUAGAGCGAUAAGUUACAUGCAUUAGACCCGAAACCGAGUGAUCUAGCCAUGAGCAGGUUGAAGGUUGGGUAACACCAACUGGAGGACCGCACCCAUAUCUGUUGAAAAAGAUAGGGAUGACUUGUGGCUAGGGGUGAAAGGCCAAUCAAACUCGGAAAUAGCUGGUUCUCCGCGAAAACUAUUUAGGUAGUGCGGUGAGCGGACACCUUGAGGGGUAGAGCACUGAAAGAGCUAAGGGGGAGCGAUCCUUACUAAACUUUAUCAAACUCCGAAUACUCAAGAGUGAUACUCACCAGACAGACAUUAGGUGCUAAGGUCUAGUGUCGAGAGGGAAAGAGCCCAGACCGUCAAUUAAGGUCCCAAAAUUAUGGCUAAGUGGUAAAGGAAGUGAAUUGUCCAAAACAGUCAGGAGGUUGGCUUAGAAGCAGCCAUCCUUUAAAGAAAGCGUAAUAGCUCACUGAUCUAAACAAGACGAUUUGCGCCGAAGAUGUAACGGGGCUAAAGCCAUAUACCGAAAUUACGGAUUUACACGUAAGUGUAAGUGGUAGCGGAGCGUUCUGUAGGCCUGCGAAGGUGAACCGUAAGGUUUGCUGGAGGUAUCAGAAGUGAGAAUGCUGACAUGAGUAGCGAAAAGAAGAGUGAGAGACUCUUCCGCUGAAAGUCCAAGGUUUCCUGCGUAAAGCUAAUCUGCGCAGGGUUAGUCGGCCCCUAAGGCGAGGCAGAGAUGCGUAGUCGAUGGGAAUCAGGUUAAUAUUCCUGAACCAACUAGGAAGUGACGGAUUCAGUAAAUUGUAUGUCCUUAUUGGAUUGGAUAUGCAGUGAAUGAGUUCCAGGAAAUAGCCCUAGUAUAGACCGUACCCCAAACCGACACAGGUGGACAGGUAGAGAAUACCAAAGCGCUUGAGAGAACUAUGUUGAAGGAACUAGGCAAAAUACUUGCGUAACUUCGGGAUAAGCAAGCCCCAUUUUAAGGCAACUUAAGGUGGGGGGCACAUACUAGGGGGUAGCGACUGUUUACUAAAAACACAGGACUCUGCUAAAUUGAAAGAUGAAGUAUAGGGUCUGACGCCUGCCCGGUGCUGGAAGGUUAAGGAGAGAUGUGAGAGCAUUGAACUGAAGCCCCAGUAAACGGCGGCCGUAACUAUAACGGUCCUAAGGUAGCGAAAUUCCUUGUCGGGUAAGUUCCGACCUGCACGAAUGGCGUAACGACUUCCCCGCUGUCUCCAACAUAGGCUCAGCGAAAUUGAAUUCUGAGUUAAGAUGCUCAGUACCCGCGGUUAGACGGAAAGACCCCGUGAACCUUUACUAUAGCUUUGCAGUGGUAUUAGGUGACAAAUGUGUAGGAUAGGUGGGAUGCUAUGAAGUUAUGACGCCAGUUGUAAUGGAGCAGACGUUGAAAUACCACCCUUUUGUUAUUUGAUAUCUAACCUGCUUCCCUGAACGGGAAGAGGGACCCUGCAUGGUGGGUAGUUUGACUGGGGCGGUCGCCUCCCAAAGAGUAACGGAGGCGCGCAAAGGUUGGCUCAGACUGGUCGGAAAUCAGUCGUCGAGUGCAAUGGCAUAAGCCAGCCUGACUGCGAGAGAGACAUUUCGAGCAGAGACGAAAGUCGGUCAUAGUGAUCCGGUGGU
rnacentral:rRNA from 1 species